AAAGGAAUUGACGGGGACCCGCACAAGCAGCGGAGCAUGUGGUUUAAUUCGAAGCAACGCGAAGAACCUUACCAGGCCUUGACAUCCCCUGACAGGAUUAGAGAUAAUUUUUUUCCUUCGGGAACAGGGAGACAGGUGGUGCAUGGUUGUCGUCAGCUCGUGUCGUGAGAUGUUGGGUUAAGUCCCGCAACGAGCGCAACCCCUGUUAAUAGUUGCCAGCAUUGAGUUGGGCACUCUAUUGAGACUGCCGUAGACAAUACGGAGGAAGGUGGGGACGACGUCAAAUCAUCAUGCCCCUUAUGGCCUGGGCUACACACGUGCUACAAUGGUUUGAACAAAGGGAAGCGAAACCGCGAGGCGAAGCCAAUCCCAUAAAACAAAUCCCAGUUCGGAUUGCAGGCUGAAACCCGCCUGUAUGAAGAUGGAGUUGCUAGUAAUCGCGGAUCAGAAUGCCGCGGUGAAUGCGUUCCCGGGUCUUGUACACACCGCCCGU
rnacentral:rRNA from 1 species